GCUGGGCAUGGUGGCGUGUGCCUGUAAUUCCAGCUACUUGAGAGGCUGAGGCAGGAGAAUCGCUUGAACCCAGGAGGCAGAGGUUGCAGUGAGCUGAGAUCAUGCCUCUGCACUCUGGCCUGGGUGACACAGUGAGACUCUGUCUCAG
rnacentral:SRP_RNA from 2 species